rnacentral:rRNA from 1 species
CUCAGGAUGAACGCUAGCGGCAGGCUAACACAUGCAAGUCGAGGGGCAACGCGAGUAGCAAUACUUGGCGGCGACCGGCGCAAGGGUGCGUAACGCGUGAGCAACAUGCCCGUAUCAGGGGGAUAAUCCAGGGAAACUUGGUCUAAUACCCCAUAGUAAUUUUGUAAGGCAUCUUAUAAGAUUUAAAGCUUUGGUGGAUACGGAUUGGCUCGCGUGACAUUAGCUGGAUGGUAAGGUAACGGCUUACCAUGGCUAUGAUGUCUAGGGGUUCUGAGAGGAAGGUCCCCCACACUGGAACUGAGACACGGUCCAGACUCCUACGGGAGGCAGCAGUGAGGAAUAUUGGACAAUGGAUGGAAAUCUGAUCCAGCCAUGCCGCGUGAAGGAAGAAGGUCCUAUGGAUUGUAAACUUCUUUUGUAUGGGAGCAAUAAGGCCUACGAGUAGGUUGAUGAGAGUACCAUACGAAUAAGCACCGGCUAACUCCGUGCCAGCCGCUGC